GUAGGGAAUAUUGGGCAAUGAAUGCAAGUCUGACCCAGCCAUCCCGCGUGCCGGAAGAAGGCCCUCAGGGUUGUAAACGGCUUUUGACGGUGAAGAAUCGACAGGAUGCGUCCUGUUUUGACGGUAGCCGUUGAAUAAGCACCGGCUAACUCCGUGCCAGCAGCCGCGGUAAUACGGAGGGUGCGAGCGUUGUCCGGAUUUAUUGGGUUUAAAGGGUGCGUAGGCUGGAAGGUCAGUCAGCGGUGAAAAGCUGUCGCUUAACGAUAGUCUUGCCGCAGAUACUUCCUUUCUUGGAUGAGGAGGAGGCCACUGGAACGGAUGGUGUAGCGGUGAAAUGCAUAGAUAUCAUCCAGAACACCGAUUGCGAAGGCAGGUGGCUGUACCUUAAUCGACGCUGAUGCACGAAAGCAUGGGGAGCAAACAGGAUUAGAAACCCCUGUAGUCC
rnacentral:rRNA from 1 species